AUGUGUGACACCGGCGGCUUGGAAGGCCUUUGGCAUGCCUCCUUCCAAGAGGCUGAAGAGAUUCCUGCUGCUGUUGCUGAGUUUCCUCCUCUGUGCCCAAGACACCUACUUUCCCAGGGGAGAAGCAAACACUUCUGGAAGACAAGAAGGCAAAAUGUGCACCAAAGAGCCAACCAUGCCGUGCAAUGCUGUAUUCAAGAUGCUGAGAGCCAGAAUGAAAGAGGGAGCCAGUUCCAACAGGGUGAAGAAAAGGCUGAGCUGGUCCAACUGGUCCAAGAGCAGAAGAAAGUGCUGAGAAUGAAAAGAGAAACCAAGAGAAAAGAUAAACCAAGAGAACCAGGUCUGGGCUUUGGGGACAGCAAGGAUGCUGGACUUGUACCGACUGUCUGUUGAGAUGAUGCCAUACCUCUGCAGUCUGGGGCCACUGGGACUCAUCUAAAGAAAUCUUCACUAGAUUACCAGAUUAAAACACGAAAACUUUCCUGAUUAACUUUGCCAAAUGACUGACCCUCCCUAGGCUACGAACCCUCCAUGCUGUUAAGGCUGUAACUCAUUUUUCCUGAGUUGAGGGUCGCUUCAUUUCAUGCGGGUAUCAGUUUUCAAACCUCAAACAGCUCUGGAGGUUCGGAGAAGCAUCCUGGGGUCCAGAUGCUUGUCUGAACUACUUGAGCCUGCACAACUGGGCCAGCUGUCUUGCCAAAAGGGACACUUGUGAGACAGCAGGCGCUUCCUGGAUCUGCAUGGGCCAGAGUUACUGCAAGAAGUGAUGCUCUUGUGGUGGCUUUGGUGUGACUGCUUCCAUACAGACCCAGGGAGCAAAAAAAAGGUGCAUGAGAGACAACAGCUUGAGUGAGUUGAACCAAGCCUUUUUGCAAGACAGUUUUGGUUCACAUCUCAUUUGAAGGGAUCCCGUUGGUUCCUCUCUCUUCCAGAGCCAAGGGUCCCGGGUAUGUGUGUGCGCGUCAGUGCGGGUGUGCAUGUGUCGAGUGAUCAGAUCCACUUAACCAAAUUCUGCGGAGUUUUGUUGUGUUUGAACCAAGCCAAUGGGAUAUCAUGCACAUUCCAACAUUGCUCAGCCAAAAAUGUCCAGGACCAGAAAAUUAUGUGAAACCAUGUAAAGCAGACUUCAUAGGUGUCAUCCCAAGGUCAAAAUGAAGUUUGAUUUUGAGGUGCUUAAUUUCCACAGUCCCUCUCCAGGGACCUGACUGCCUCAAUGGGUAUUUUCAAUGUCCAUAGACUUUCCUGCCUUUUCUAUGAGUUAUCCUGCCUGAACUACUUGAUUAUAUGGUCCUGAGCUUUGUACAUUUUCCACUGACUUUGUGGAGUGUGCACAACUGAACACCCUUGGCUGGUUUUAUUUCAGUUGUUGCUCCUAGCUGAUUGGAGCUUUACUUGUAGCACCCUGGUUUAUAUUACCAGCUUCUCCAGGAAGGACUGGUAGUUUGUUUUCCUGGGGUAGAGUCACGUGAAUGAAGAAGUGUGUAUGUGCUGUGUCUGUGAAACUUUAGAAGAUUUCAAUCACUGGAGAUUUUUUUUUCCUUAGGUAAUUUUACAUUUGACUCUGACAGAACUACAUUAGAGUUUUUAUUUUUACUAGAAAUAUUAAUAAUUCAAACAACCUUGUACAAAAGGCAAACUCAUUGAAUCACUACAGGUUAUAGGGGUUGAAGCCAAAAGGUCUUUGUAAGCCGACAUCACUUGCCCUAGAUCUGACUGUAUCAGGCAGUUAUUCCUCAUGUGUCAUGUUGGAGUUACAAGAUCACACCAAGCCACUAGAACCUGUCAGUAGAAUAGUGCUACACUUUAUUUGCUAUUGUAGCAAAGCCUUUUGUAGAUUUAUACAAUAAAACUUUGAAAUAUCUGCUUAAAUUGCUUUGU
rnacentral:lncRNA from 1 species